UACAGGGGGGGGCAAGCGUUGUUCGGAAUUACUGGGCGUAAAGGGUCUGUAGGUGGCCAACUAAGUCAGACGUGAAAUCCCUCAGCUUAACUGGGGAACUGCGUCUGAUACUGGAUGGCUUGAGUGUGGGGAGAGGAAUGCGGAAUUCCAGGUGUAGCGGUGAAAUGCGUAGAUAUCUGGAGGAACACCGGUGGCGAAGGCGGCAUUCUGGACCAUAACUGACACUGAGAGACGAAAGCCAGGGGAGCAAACGGG
rnacentral:rRNA from 1 species